ACCAGCUUGGUUCGGUCCGUUUCAAUUCAGUUUUGAAAAUUGCUCAUGACAACCGUAAUGAAAUCGCCGUGCACCAUUUUUGAUGCGCUACUCCAUGAUGAGAAGGUACUGUUGCUUUUGAUUCUUCGUUUUUGCAAAUACCGAAAUUAGUACGAGAUACGAUGACCUAUUUUAAAGCAUCCAGUUAAAUCGAAAAUAGGUCAAAAAAGGAGUUAACAGCAGUUUGAAGGAGGAAGUUUAGUCGUACAUUACAAAUACGAAGGAUAUUAUUUGAAAUCGACGUGGGCACAAUCGUAAAGAAGAGUUAGAUAGAAUGAAAAAUGGAUCAAGGUAGAAUGAUGAGAUAGAAUGAAUCCACAAGAUGAAGGGUGACAACAUAGAAUGAAGAAACAGAUGAAGACACAGGAGUAAGAGACGAAGAAAUUGAAGAGAAAGAAUGAAGAGAUAGAAUAACGCCACAAGAUGAAAAGAUAGUAGGAAAUAUGAUGAAGACAUACUUAGAAGGAAGAAUUGAUGAAAAUCGUGUCUUCAUCUAUCUCUUCAUUUUGUAAAGAGAUGGAUGAAGGCAGAAUGAAGAAUAGAACGAAAUAAGGUUGAAGACGUACAAUUAAGGAAAUAGAUGAAGAUCCUGUCUUCAUUGUAUGUCUUCAUUUAUUUCUUCAUUCCAUCAUCUAUAAUUUUCCAUCUAUAUUAUCCUUCAUCUAUAUUUUUCCCCCUUCUAUAAUUUCGAUCUAUAUCUUCCUCCAUCUAUUAUUCCCCCUCCCCUUCUAUAUCUUUCAUCCAUUUCUCCCUUCAUCUAUAAUUUCCCCCCUUCUACGUCUCCCAUCUAUAUCAUCCUUCAUCUACAAUUUUCCCCCUUUUAUAUUUUCUCUCAUCUAUAAUUUUUCGGCUUUCUAUAUCUUCCUUCAUAUAUAAAUUUCCCUCUUCUGUA